CCUUGCCAUAGAACACUAUCGUCAUUUAAGAGAUAUUUAUUCAUCCUUUGCAUCUUUCGGAUUGUGUUUUGAAACAAAGCUAAAGAUUAAAAGUUAUGAACAACAAGGCUCCAGACCGUCUGCUGGAGUUUCCUGAAGGAGAGCGAGACAAAGAGGAAGUACCGUAAGAUCCAGCGCAGCAGGCGCAACUUCACACUUAAGCUAAGCACAGUAUAGUCCAUGCUUUGCUGCCAGGAAAUAACAGACGACAGUCACAGCUCGCCAGUACUCAAAUUUAUUGCUGAAACUGCACCAAAAUAGCC